GGUGGAUACCAUAAACAUGUAAGGGUACUAUCGGGAUUGGUUGUUGCCUUCUCCACUGUAGGAGGGCCGGGCAGAGACGCUUCACCAAGAGAAUUUUUGAGGAGAAAAAUGCCUGGGGCCUUUUCUUCCCACUACCUACUCCAGUGGAGGCUUCCCGUCAGGUCCCUGGACAAGGUUUUCCACUCCUCAGGUUAUCGGAGGCUUCAGUGCCAGUAGAAAACCAGGCUGAAGCCCUCUCAAGGGUGUUUUUGCCUUCCUGGAACACCAGCUUCUAAUACUUCCUUGUUUUCUUCCUGAAGAAAGUUGCUUGGGGGACACAUCUCACCUAUGGAACAAAGUGCUUGGACUUUGUGACAAUCUCCCUUAUUGAAUUUGACCCUGGGUGUUCAGGUUGUCAGAAGUCUAAUUACUAUUCACAUUGGACUUUGCUAUGAAAACACAACUAAUGCACUCUUGAAAAAAAGUCUGUGGAGCUUAUCUUAAAAAUAUUGCUUACGAUUUUAUCUCAUAUCAAUUUGAUGGCAAAUGUUGAAUAAUACACACAUAUAUAAUACAAAUGUGACACCUCGGAAUCUGUCCUCAUAUGAGAAUUUCCUCUAUAGAGCAGCAACCAAAUAAUAUAGUUUAAACAGAAAAUUGCAAAAAAGCAGGAUAUUGUCAACUUAAUAGAUUGUUUUAAUUUCUUAUUUCUGUAAAUCCCUUAUCCAAGACUUAAUAAUCUUUGAUCAUGCUCUACUCUGCCAUUAUAAAAAAAGUACUAAUUUUUUCUUUGGUAAGUAGAUCAAUAGUGUUUACAUGUUAAUCUUAGAACACAAUUCUAAUGCAUUUUUUUCCUCUAAAGCUGUUUGAACUUUAUAGCCACUUUACUGGUUCUUAUUAAAAAUAUUGAAAUAGUAUUACUGAGAGAAAUUUCUUAACUUUGUAUGAGGUGGUUCACUGAAUACAUAAAGUACUCAUAUCCAGGAGAGUUUUAAUUGAAAACAUUUUUAAAAGGAAAAAUAAAAAUGAUGUAAAUGUGCA
rnacentral:lncRNA from 1 species